rnacentral:lncRNA from 1 species
GCCUGUUUUAUUUUACUUUUAUUUUCUGUGUGACUAUUUGAUUUGUGCAAUCUUAUUAUUAACUUGUAUUAUGUUUUAAGUGUACUAUAUGCUUUUAACUUAUAUAUGUCAUUAUGGUAUCUUACUAUGCAUUAUAUGUUUAAAAUUGUGUUGUUUUCAUGACUUUUGUAUGUGUGUAUUGUAUUGUGUGUGCGUGUAUUGUAUUUUGUUAUUACGUCGAUUUGAAAAGCUCACAAGAGCUUGUGUUAUGUAGUUUAUUGAAUAUCGACUCUACAUAAAAAUUUGCAUUGAAUUGAAUUGAAUUGAAAA